UACGAAGGGGGCUAGCGUUGCUCGGAAUCACUGGGCGUAAAGCGUGCGCAGGCGGUUUGCUAAGACAGGUGUGAAAUCCCCGGGCUUAACCUGGGAACUGCGCUUGUUACUGGCAGGCUAGAGUGUGGCAGAGGGGGGUAGAAUUCCAGGUGUAGCAGUGAAAUGCGUAGAUAUCUGGAGGAAUACCGAUGGCGAAGGCAGCCCCCUGGGUUAACACUGACGCUCAUGCACGAAGGCGUGGGGAGCAAACAGG
rnacentral:rRNA from 1 species